GAUUUUCAGCUUCUGCUGGAGCCCUAUGAGUGAGGAAACAGAAAACCAUAUCCUAUCAUCAAUUCUCAAACUUCCUAGAUGGGGACAGAUUAAAAAUGCUUAAUGUUUACUACAUGAUAAAGGAAAAGACAUAGAACCCAUAAAGAAAACAAAGAUUUAGUAAUAUCAGCAAUUCGCCAUAGAGCAGCUUACAGAAGCAGAUAGCCAUAGAAGUAUCAAAAUUGUCCAUGCAAAAUAAACCAUUUUCAAAAUUACAGAUAAGCCCUUUAACAUGUGCAAGGGGACAGCAGAAUCAGCCAGCAAUGUUUACAUACAAUUAAAACCCCUUUAGCAAUUCAAAGAAAAACAUAAUCUAUCAAUAAACCCUUGAUUUUCCCAAGAAUGACACAAAUUUCCCUGCAGAACAUUUGAUCAACCAAUCUUGAACUUCAUAAACCACACUUGCACACAUGAUCACACCACUUUUUGUGAUCGGUAAAGUAAAUUUUCACUGAAAACUCAAUGCCCUUCUUCAAUCUCUCUUUUCCUCACCCAUCCGUUCUCCAUUCCUCCAAAAAAGGUCCCAACAUGUAUCCUACCAUCUACAAUAUUCCCAAGUUUUAAAAAAAAAUUAAAAAAGAAAAACAAGGGGCGGCAACAGGCAAAUUCAAUUCCAACGGUUGGGAUGCAGAUUGUUUUCUGGUGUUUUUGCGGCAUGUUGAUAAAGUUGUGAAGAUUCAA
rnacentral:misc_RNA from 1 species